GCUACUAGACGGCGCGUCAUGUAGCACCGUCGGGAGCAGCACACGUGUUCGUUAACGCACGGAUUACUCUGUAUCUUACCGUCACCGAGAAAAUACAUAGUCUUAUAUCCUACAACGGUCUACAAUUAUUACAAGCCUGAGAAUAACCCACACAAGUGCAACACAAUAUAUUAUAACAACGUCGUAAGAUGGAAUAUUUAUAUAAAUUAGUCGUUUUCUUGUGUGGAUAGCAAAUCAUCAAUAUUGAGUAUUGAUAUUGUGCCAUCAUCGUGAAUUUCUUGGGACGAGGCGCGAAAUUCUCUUGUUUGCAAAUUUAUGUGGCCUCCUCCACGGCCGUCAAAAGAAUGAAAUUGCAAAAUUUAAUUAAAACAGGCGAACCUCCAAUUGAUACAUGGCCAACAUUUCGCGUGGAAACACGAGGCAGAGCAAAAACGUAUUUGGAAACUGGAACCCGUCUUGAAUGACUAAAAAAGCAAGAAUAUACAUUUACUGAAGAAAGUGAAGUUGAUGGUCGAUCAAAAUCUCUUGUGGAUAUUAAAAGUUAUAAAAUAAAACGUAAAGAAAAUACAUCUUUAAGAAAAGAAUUAAAUUUAACUUCCCAAA